rnacentral:misc_RNA from 1 species
AACGCAUAUUGCGCUCUUUGGUAUUCCGAAGAGCAUGCUUGUUUGAGUAUCAGUAAACACCUCAAAACGCUUGGUUUUUUCCAAGAGUUUUGGACUUGAGCAAACCCAACACCUUCUCUCACGAUUUGGCGGCGGGUUGCUUGAAAUGCAGGUGCAGCUGGACAUUCUCCUGAGCUAAAAGCAUAUCUAUUUAGUCCCGUCAAACGGAUUAUUACUUUUUGCUGCAGCUAACAUAAAGGGAGUUUUGACCGAAUUGGCUGACUGAUGCAGGAUUUUACAGAGUCGGAAACGAUUCUGUCAAACUCGAUCUCAAAUCAAGUAAGACUACCCGCUGAACUUAA